rnacentral:rRNA from 1 species
CCUACGGGUGGCAGCAGUAGGGAAUAUUGCACAAUGGGGGAAACCCUGAAGCAGCAACGCCGCGUGGAGGAUGAAGGUUUUCGGAUUGUAAACUCCUUUUGUUAGAGAAGAUAAUGACGGUAUCUAACGAAUAAGCAUCGGCUAACACCGUGCCAGCAACCGCGGUCAUACGGAGGGUGCAAGCGUUACUCGGAAUCACUGGGCGUAAAGCGCGCGGAGGCGGGAUAGCAAGUCAGAUGUGAAAUCCUAUGGCUUAACCAGAGAACUGCAUUUGAAACUGUUAUUCUUGAGUAUGGGAGAGGUAGGUGGAAUUCUAGGUGUAGGGGUAAAAUCCGUAGAGAUCAAGAGGAAUACUCAUUGCGAAGGCGACCUGCUAGAACAUAACUGACGCUGAUGCGCGAAAGCGUGGGGAGCAAACAGGAUUAGAUACCCUUGUAGUC